ACUGAAGCUGAAACACCAAUUCUUGUCCAAUCACUGAAGUUAAGCAACAUCAAGCCAGGUCAGUACCUAGAUGAGUGACAACUUGGGAAUACCAAGUGUUGUAA